rnacentral:tRNA from 1 species
GCGGGUGUAGCUCAGCGGUUAGAGUGCCUGACUGUGACUCAGGAUGUCGGGGGUUCAAGUCCCCUCAUCCGCCCCA